rnacentral:rRNA from 1 species
AUUGAACGCUGGCGGCAGGCCUAACACAUGCAAGUCGAGCGAGCGGCGGACGGGUGAGCAAUGUAUGGGGCUCUUACCGGGAGAGAGGGAUCACUACUGGACACGGAGGCUAAUACCGCAUACUAUCGGAUGAAUCCAUAUGGGAUUAGCUAGUGGGUGUGGUAAAGGCUAACCUAGGCGACGAUCUCUAGCUGGUCUGAGAGGAUGAUCAGCCACACUGGGACUGAGACACGGUCCAGACUCCUACGGGAGGCAGCAGUGGGGAAUAUUGCACAAUGGGCGAAAGCCUGAUGCAGCCAUGCCGCGUGUGUGAAGAAGGCCUUAGGGUUGUAAAGUACUUUAAGCUGGGAGGCGUUACCAACAGAAGAAGCACCGGCUAACUCCGUGCCAGCAGCCGCGGUAAUAC